rnacentral:ncRNA from 1 species
UUAUCAUGCACGCGAGUCAAUGGGUCGAUCGAAACCCAAGGACGCAGUGAAAGUGACGUCCUAAUUUGUUCUCGGAACGUGAGAUGCCACUGUUCCUCGCAAUUCGCCUUGCGCGUAUAGCACUGGGCACCAUAGCAAUGGUCGCAUCACCAGCUCGUCCCAUGAUGCGGCUUUGGAAAGGUGUGGAUCGUUUUGCGGUCUGUGUUGGAGCCAGCGCGUUCAUGAUAAGACCCGAAAGAUGGUGAACCAUGCUUGCGUAGGUUGAAGCUGGAGAAAACUCUGGUGGAGGACCGCAGCAAUUCUGACGUGAAAAUCGAUAGUCAGACGUGAGUAUUGGGGCGAAAGACUAAUCGAGCCAUCUAGUAGCAUG